UUUUUUUUUUUUGUAGAGAUGGGGUCUUGCUAUGUUGCCCAGGCUGGUCUCAAAUUCAAGCAUUUGUCCUGUCUCAGUCUUCCAAAAUGCUUCUGUGCCCCUGUCCCAACAAGGAAGAACAAGAGAUGUGAGCCACACUCCUGGCCUCCUGUCUUUCCUUGUUGGAGCAGGAAUGGAGAAGCACUUGCCGCAGCUGACUUGAGUAUAUCCCGUUUUGCUUUGUUUUCCUCACGGGUAACCUGGCAGUGCUGUGCACCAGUGCUGCUGGCCAGCUGUUUUUUCGAUGGACUGGCAGAAAAUGAAACUGAGACCCGGGUUCCUUUCUCCCUGGGUACUGACCAGGUGGGAGAGGAGGGACGUUAUCUGAGUAUCAUCUUCAUGAGGGCUGGUGGGGAAACGUCAACUUGAAGGUGCCUGGGAUCUAAGGCAUGAAACCCAGCAGUGCAGCGGAAUAUAGGGGAUGUAGACUUGGGAGCAGAGACGUGUGGGCCGGUGCCCUCGUUCCUGGUGGGUUUUGAGUGCAGGAAAAGGUUAGUGAACCAGCCGAGGUCACGGAGCAACCUGCCAAGACCUGCCUGGAUGUAUGGCUAGCUGCCAUGCUGGCCCCACAACUGCCCAUUUGGGGAUUCCUUGCAGUUGCAGACCCACCUAGGAGUCCGGAGAGCAUCCCAACCAUGACCUCAAAGAACGAGGUGUUGCCUUGAGAUCCUCCAAGGUGAGGGUAGGAUUUUUUUUUUUCAAUUAGCAAUAAUUUGUUGUGAAUGAUCUUGGACCUAUUUUCCACUUCUUUGUAUAGGAAGAGAGAAUAAAAAGUCUCAAUGUGCCAGAUGCAACAUCAAUGGAUAAUGCUGCGAUUUGGUUUCCUCCCGUGGUCCAAAACACGUUCUAGAGAUGCCGCUGCUUUGUGUGUACUUGAGACAAGGGUCUAAAUGUAUUAGGGCCUUGAUAUAAUCUGUAAGACAGGCACAACAUGCCUAUUUCAAAGAGGCACUAGACAAGAAAGCGUGCUCUACUCAGUACAAUGAGAAUGCUUCAUUGUCAUAAGCAAAGUAAAAUGUCUCCAAGACGAGCUUGCCAUGCAUUUAAUGACCUUGGAUACGAGCUUCCUAAACCUGCCAGAAAGUGCUUCCAGCAUAGCUUCAUGCAGUGGUUUCAUGCAGUGGCUUCAGUGGAGAAUGUGCAUAUGCGGCUCAUACUGAGAGCUGGGCAACACCCUCCUGACCUGACGGGUGCCCAUGUGUGAACCGUGAGCCGGGCAUCCUGACUUGACGGGUCCCCAUAUGUGGACCGUGAGCCGGGCAGCACCCUCCUGACCUGACGGGUCCCCUUGUGCCCAUUGUGGGACCUCCGUCACUCAAGCAAGUGACACGCGUCAAACUGAAUGCAGGGAGGAGGGUCCAGGAUUGUGUGCGGGCUCCGUGUCUCGUCCUUCUGAGGCCUUCUGGGAAGCCAGGAGGGCAGUGGGGACUUCUGUGUGUUUCCUCCUGGUGGCUGUGAAUUUGUAGCAAUGGCUUUUUGCCAAAGGGCCCGGAGGCGGAAUCAGAGCCUGUCUUGGAAAGGAUGACACCUUCACGGGCACCUUUUUCCGCCACUCCAGUGCUCCUGUGAUUUUCAAUAUGUGCACCCUGCAGACUUCAGCCUGCUAGUGUCUUGGGGGAAUAGAUACCAGGAUUGCUCCAAUGCCUGCAAACCUCAAACAGGAAUUUCUCUGCAUGAAGUUGGUCACCAAAAUGGGAGGUAAGGGGAGAGGGGAAGGAACUUCUUGGCCUCGUCAGCCCU
ensembl:lncRNA